GAUGAACGCUGGCGGCGUGCCUAAUACAUGCAAGUCGAGCGAACGGACGAGAAGCUUGCUUCUCUGAUGUUAGCGGCGGACGGGUGAGUAACACGUGGAUAACCUACCUAUAAGACUGGGAUAACUUCGGGAAACCGUAGCUAAUACCGGAUAAUAUUUUGAACCGCAUGGUUCAAAAGUGAAAGACGGUCUUGCUGUCACUUAUAGAUGGAUCCGCGCUGCAUUAGCUAGUUGGUAAGGUAACGGCUUACCAAGGCAACGAUGCAUAGCCGACCUGAGAGGGUGAUCGGCCACACUGGAACUGAGACGCGGUCCAGACUCCUACGGGAGGCAGCAGUAGGGAAUCUUCCGCAAUGGGCGAAAGCCUGACGGAGCAACGCCGCGUGAGUGAUGAAGGUCUUCGGAUCGUAAAACUCUGUUAUUAGGGAAGAACAUAUGUGUAAGUAACUGUGCACAUCUUGACGGUACCUAAUCAGAAAGCCACGGCUAACUACGUG
rnacentral:rRNA from 1 species